UACGUAGGGUGCAAGCGUUGUCCGGAAUUAUUGGGCGUAAAGAGCUCGUAGGCGGCUUGUCGCGUCGGCUGUGAAAACCUAGGGCUCAACCCUGGGCCUGCAGUCGAUACGGGCAGGCUAGAGUUCGGUAGGGGAGGACUGGAAAUUCCUGGUGUAGCGGUGAAAUGCGCAGAUAUCAGGAGGAACACCGGUGGCGAAGGCGGUCUCUGGGCCGAAACUGACGCUGAGGCGCGAAAGCUAGGGGAGCGAACGGG
rnacentral:rRNA from 1 species